rnacentral:lncRNA from 1 species
GCGAGCCCCAUUGGUGUGAAAGAAGCUCCCGCGUCAGAGCUGGGAAGUGCCGGGCCGGCGGGGAGGGGAGCCCGGGCGCACGGGCCAGGCCGCGGGCUGUCCCAGGGAGCCCCGAGGGCGCGGUGCGCGGGCGCAGGUCGGGCGCAGGCGGGGUGACCCGGGGAAGGGGCGCGCACAGAGACAGAGGGAGCCAGCCGGGCCCCACGGUGUCCUCGGACGCCUCCGAAAUCUCCCUGCGUGUUUGUUUCUUCGGAGCUUCACCGGAGCCUGACUCUGGAACCGGCCUGUCUGCCUGCUGCAGUCUGGAAACGUUGUGUUCUGUUAGUCUUGGAGGCCAAGGCUGAGUGGGUUUAUCUCUGUGCCCCUCCAGUGACUUCAAAGAAUGCCAAAAGUCUCUCGAGUGUGCCUGUGUGCACACACAGACACACACAAAGUCAUUCAACAUUUAUUCAACCAAAAAUACUAAGUCAGCUCUAUACAAACUAAUGGAAGGAUACAGCUAUGCAAAUAUAGAACACUAAAGUGUUACAUGACAGAUGUAUGAGAUAUUAAAGUAAUUGUGAAAUAAAAGAAAAAAUUGUCUGAUAAAACCACAUCUCAUAGAAACCCAAUGAAUGCAACACAUCUAAAAUUUUAUCUGCAAAAAACGAGAGAAGACUUGCCCUUCUGUCAGUAAAGCACAGAUAAAG